GACGAACGCUGGCGGCGUGCUUAACACAUGCAAGUCGAACGGAAAGGCCCUGCUUGCAGGGUACUCGAGUGGCGAACGGGUGAGUAACACGUGGGUGAUCUGCCCUGCACUUCGGGAUAAGCUUGGGAAACUGGGUCUAAUACCGGAUAGGUGCCAUCUUUAGUGUGGUGGUUGGAAAGUUUUUUCGGUGUAGGAUGAGCUCGCGGCCUAUCAGCUUGUUGGUGGGGUAAUGGCCUACCAAGGCGGCGACGGGUAGCCGGCCUGAGAGGGUGUACGGCCACAUUGGGACUGAGAGACGGCCCAGACUCCUACGGGAGGCAGCAGUGGGGAAGAUUGCACAAUGGGCGCAAGCCUGAUGCAGCGACGCCGCGUGGGGGAUGAAGGCCUUCGGGUUGUAAACUCCUUUCGCUAGGGACGAAGCUUUUUGUGACGGUACCUAGAUAAGAAGCACCGGCUAACUACGUG
rnacentral:rRNA from 1 species